rnacentral:rRNA from 1 species
GAUGAAAGCGGGGGACCUUCGGGCCUCGCGCGAUUGGAGCGGCCGAUGGCAGAUUAGGUAGUUGGUGGGAUAAAAGCUUACCAAGCCGACGAUCUGUAGCUGGUCUGAGAGGACGACCAGCCACACUGGGACUGAGACACGGCCCAGACUCCUACGGGAGGCAGCAGUGGGGAAUUUUGGACAAUGGGCGAAAGCCUGAUCCAGCAAUGCCGCGUGCAGGAUGAAGGCCUUCGGGUUGUAAACUGCUUUUGUACGGAACGAAAAAGCUCCUUCUAAUACAGGGGGCCCAUGACGGUACCGUAAGAAUAAGCACCGGCUAACUACGUGCCAGCAGCCGCGGUAAUACGUAGGGUGCGAGCGUUAAUCGGAAUUACUGGGCGUAAAGCGUGCGCAGGCGGUUAUGUAAGACAGAUGUGAAAUCCCCGGGCUCAACCUGGGAACUGCAUUUGUGACUGCUGGCUAGAGUACGGUAGAGGGGGAUGGAAUUCCGCGUGUAGCAGUGAAAUGCGUAGAUAUGCGGAGGAACACCGAUGGCGAAGCAAUCCCCUGGACCUGUACUGACGCUCAUGCACGAAAGCGUGGAGCAAACAGGAUUAGAUACCCUGGUAGUCCCGCCCUAAACGAUGUCAACUGGUUGUUGGGAAUUAGUUUUCUCAGUAACGAAGCUACGCGUGAAGUUGACCGCCUGGGGAGUACGGCCGCAGGUUGAAACUCAAGGGAAUUGACGGGACCCGCACAAGCGGUGGAUGAUGUGGUUUAAUUCGAUGCAACGCGAAAAACCUUACCCCCUUUGACUGGCAGGAAGUUUCAAGAUGGAUUGUGCUGGAAAAAACCUGCACACAGGUGCUGCAUGGCUGUCGUCAGCUCGUGUCUGAGAUGUUGGGUUAAAGUCCCGCAACGAGCGCACCCUGUCAUUAGUUGCUACAUUCAGUUGAGCACUCUAAUGAGACUGCCGGUGACAAACCGGAGGAAGGUGGGGAUGACGUCAAGUCCUCAUGGCCCUUAUAGGUGGGGCUACACACGUCAUACAAUGGCUGGUACAGAGGGUUGCCAACCCGCGAGGGGGAGCUAAUCCCAUAAAACCAGUCGUAGUCCGGAUCGCAGUCUGCAACUCGAUGCGUGAAGUGGAAUCGCUGUAAUCGCGGAUCACAGCCGCGGUGAAUACGUUCCCGGGUCUUGUACACCCCCCUCACACCUGGGAGCGGGU